CGGCUCACCAAGUCGACGAUGUCUAGGGGUUCUGAGAGGAAGGUCCCCCACACUGGUACUGAGACACGGACCAGACUCCUACGGGAGGCAGCAGUGAGGAAUAUUGGUCAAUGGGCGCAAGUCUGAACCAGCCAUGUCGCGUGAAGGAAGACGGUUCUAUGGAUUGUAAACUUCUUUUAUACGGGAAGAAACGUAUCUACGUGUAGAUAUUUGCCGGUACCGUAUGAAUAAGCACCGGCUAACUCCGUGCCAGCAGCCGCGGUAAUACGGAGGGUGCGAGCGUUAUCCGGAUUUAUUGGGUUUAAAGGGUGCGUAGGCGGAAUAAUAAGUCAGUGGUGAAAUCUUGCAGCUUAACUGUAAAACUGCCAUCGAUACUGUUAUUCUUGAAUUUAGUUGAGGUAGGCGGAAUGUGUUGUGUAGCGGUGAAAUGCAUAGAUAUAACACAGAACACCGAUUGCGAAGGCAGCUUACUAAGCUAUAAUUGACGCUGAUGCACGAAAGCGUGGGUAGCGAACAGGAUUAGAUACCCUGGUAGUCCACGCCGUAAACGAUGAUUACUCGUUGUUGGCAAUACAUCGUCAGCGACUGAGCGAAAGCAUUAAGUAAUCCACCUGGGGAGUAUGUUGGCAACAAUGAAACUCAAAGGAAUUGACGGGGGCCCGCACAAGCGGAGGAACAUGUGGUUUAAUUCGAUGAUACGCGAGGAACCUUACCUGGACUUAAAUGUAGAUUGACAGGCUUAGAGAUAGGCUUUUCUUCGGACAAUUUACAAGGUGCUGCAUGGUUGUCGUCAGCUCGUGCCGUGAGGUGUCGGGUUAAGUCCCAUAACGAGCGCAACCCCUAUCUUUAGUUACCAGCAUGUAGUGGUGGGGACUCUAAAGAGACUGCCGGUGUAAACCGUGAGGAAGGUGGGGAUGACGUCAAAUCAGCACGGCCCUUACGUCCAGGGCUACACACGUGUUACAAUGGUCGGUACAAAGGGCAGCUACCUAGCGAUAGGAUGCUAAUCUCUAAAACCGAUCUCAGUUCGGAUCGGAGUCUGCAACUCGACUCCGUGAAGCUGGAUUCGCUAGUAAUCGCAUAUCAGCCAUGAUGCGGUGAAUACGUUCCCGGGCCUUGUACGCACCGCCCGUCAAACCAUGGAAGUUGGGGGUACCUGAAGUCUGUUACCGUAAGGAGCGGCCUAGGGUAAAACCAAUAACUAGGGUUAAGUCG
rnacentral:rRNA from 1 species